UCUGAACUAGAAAUUUUUUACUCUUCUCAAGUAGUCUAUAAAUACCUACCUCCCCAUUAAGGAAGCAGUAGAGUACAGCCACCACCAAGCCCUGUCAAGAGAAAGAACCACAGUAUUAGAAUGUAGAAAGUUAAUUUAACUGGCCCAAUCUAGAACUCCCAGGGCAGGAAAGGCAGAUUUCUCUAUCACGAUACAGUGGAAAGAACAUUGGUUCUGCCAGGGACCUGGGUCUACGUUCUAGCUUUGAUGCUCACUAACUUCCCCAGCUCUCAAUUUCCUCAUCUGUAAAAUGAAAGAAUUGAAUUAGAUCAUUUCUUUGCUUCAUGGAAGCUCUACAUCUAAAAUCCCAUGAUUUGCUAUACUUUCUAAACUUCUAUUUCCUUUGUAAUGGGCUGAGGCUUGAGUUGAUGCACUGAGGUCCUAAGCACGUGAGGCUAAAUAGUAAUUGGACCAUACUCUAUUAAUAUAUAUGCUUGGAGAAAGAAUGACCCCCGCCCAAUCUUUGUGCAAGUCCUGAUGUGUUGUAUAGGAAAUGACGUUUUUGGUGGGUGGAGGCAAGGGAGUGGAAAGGGAAGUGAAAGGAGAGACUGCUGGCUGGCAUCUUGACACAGCUGCUCGUAUUGCUAUUGCAACGGCCUUUCAUCUCCAAUCCCCCUCUGCUAGCUGGCUUCUUGUCGCAGCUGCCCAUAUUGCUAUCGCAGUCCCCCCUCACCUCUACUGAGAAUAAAGAUUGAAGAUUUUCCUCUUAACCUGAAUUCCAGACUCCAGCUGAUUUUAAAUACGUGGUCAUCACAUUUGGCACCCAAGCACGGGAACCAAGGACCCUACUUUCACUGAAGAAGUCUCCAGUGACCAGGAACUUAGAGAGACGGAACAGACCCUUGAAAUGAAGGAGAAGACCCAAGAAAUAUCGGGUGGUUCUGUUGCUGAUUGUGCUCACCAUUGGAAGAGUGUGGCAGUUAUGGCGUUUGACUCAUGGACAUAGAAAAUCAUUGGACUUCAAAACCCUCAGGAAUCAUUGGAUUCUCUGAGACAUGAUAAGAUUGUUGUAGGACUUGAAAACCCUCAGGAAUCAUUGGAUUUUCUGAGACAUAAGAUUGUUGUAGGACUUGAAAACCCUCAGGAAUCAUUGGAUUCUUUGAGACAUAAGACUUGAAAGCCCUCAGGAAUCAUUGGAUUUUCUGAGAAAUGAUAAGACUCUUACAGGACUUCAAAAUCUGCUGGAAUCAUUGGAUUCCCUAACACAUAAAAAGACUUUCGCAGGACUUCAAAAACUUGGGGAGAUCAUUGGAUUCCCUGAUAGAUGAAGCAAUGGACAAUAGAUUGGUUUUGGACUAUCUUUUGGCUGCUGAAGAAGGCAUAUGUAUGACUGCUGUUUACAUACUCUCCUUCUAGGACUUCUGGCAAUCUUUUACAACACCAUGUUGAUUUAUAUUGUUUGUUAUACCGAGACUUGCGUGUACAAUUCAUGUUUGUUACACCACAUCAAGCCUGCACUGACUGUGGGGAGAGUCAUCACUAAUAGCCUGUGUGUUUUUGCUAUGUUCUUGUGUAAUACCUCCCAUGCUGAUGGGUUUGUGCAUAAGACCCUUCAGCCCAGAAACCCGCUAGCAACUCCCACUUCUCUUUGGUGCUUUUCAUUUCCCUUCCUGAGAUGUCAGGGAGGGCGUGAUUAUCUCCUUUUUAGUGUUUUCACCUCCCUUGCUGGGAAGUCAGGGGGGUCGUGAUCAUCUCUCCUUGGGGGCUCUGACCUCCCUGAGGAGUCAGGGAUGGCAUGACCACCUGUGUUCUAAAACAAAAGAAAGCGGGAGAUGUAAUGGGCUGAGGCUUGAGUUGAUGCACUGAGGUCCCAAGCACGUGAGGCUAAAUAGUAAUUGGACCAUACUCUAUUAAUAUAUAUGCUUGGAGAAAGAAUGGCCCCCACCCACUCUUUGUGCAAGUCCUGAUGUGUUGUAGAGAAAAUGACAUUUUUGGUGGAUGGAGGCAGGGGAGUGGAAAGGGAAGUGAAAGGAGAGACUGCUGGCUGGUGUCUUGACUCAGCUAUUCGCAUUGCCAUUGCGAUGACCCUUCAUCUCUGAUCUUUCUCUGCUAGCUGGCUUCCUAUUGCAGCUGCCCAUAUUGCUAUCACAAUUCUACUUGCCCAUAUUGCUAUUGCAAUCCUCCCUCACCUCUACUGAGAAUAAAGAUUGAAGAUUUUUCCCUUAACCUAAAUUCCUGACUCCAGCUGAUUUUAAAUAUGCGGUCAUCACAUCCCUUCAUAAGACAUGAGGCUUCCCCAGGCACAAAACACCUAGUAUAUCAAAUUUCUUUGAGAGACAAUAUGGCUGGUAUCAUGCAUGGAAAGCCAUACUUGGGGGAUCUGGGUUCAAAUCCUAACUCCAACAUGAACUAGCUGUAAGACGCCUGGAAAAAGUCAUUUAACCUUUUAGAGCCUCAGUUUCUUUCUCUUAAAAACAGGAAUAAUAAAAGAUGGAAUAUUUGGAUUAUUGGGUUAUAUAUGUAGAUUUUUGUGUUCUUCACAUAUAUAAAUAAACUUAUUUGUGUCAAUACUCAAA